rnacentral:rRNA from 1 species
GAUGGACGCUGGCGGCGUGCCUAAUACAUGCAAGUCGAGCGAACAGACGAGGAGCUUGCUCCUCUGACGUUAGCGGCGGACGGGUGAGUAACACGUGGAUAACCUACCUAUAAGACUGGGAUAACUUCGGGAAACCGGAGCUAAUACCGGAUAAUAUAUUGAACCGCAUGGUUCAAUAGUGAAAGACGGUUUUGCUGUCACUUAUAGAUGGAUCCGCGCCGCAUUAGCUAGUUGGUAAGGUAACGGCUUACCAAGGCAACGAUGCGUAGCCGACCUGAGAGGGUGAUCGGCCACACUGGAACUGAGACACGGUCCAGACUCCUACGGGAGGCAGCAGUAGGGAAUCUUCCGCAAUGGGCGAAAGCCUGACGGAGAAACGCCGCGUGAGUGAUGAAGGUCUUCGGAUCGUAAAACUCUGUUAUUAGGGAAGAACAAAUGUGUAAGUAACUAUGCACGUCUUGACGGUACCUAAUCAGAAAGCCACGGCUAACUACGUG